rnacentral:rRNA from 1 species
UACAGAGGUCCCAAGCGUUGUUCGGAUUUACUGGGCGUAAAGGGUGCGUAGGCGGCGGGGUAAGUCUGGUGUGAAAGCUCCGAGCUCAACUCGGAAAAGCAUUGGAAACUAUCCCGCUUGAGGGUCGGAGGGGAGACUGGAAUUCUCGGUGUAGCAGUGAAAUGCGUAGAUAUCGAGAGGAACACCAGUGGCGAAGGCGAGUCUCUGGACGACUCCUGACACUGAGGCACGAAAGCUAGGGGAGCAAACAGG